UCCUCAAUAGCUCAGUCGGUAGAGCAUUCGGCUGUUAACCGAAGUGUCGCAGGUUCGAGUCCUGCUUGGGGAG
rnacentral:tRNA from 2 species